AGCGCUGCGUAUUUAACGGCUGCGAAAGUAACCCAUUGCAGCAGGCGUAGGCGGAACGGAGCGAUCAUGAAGUCUUUUUCCGUCAUCGCCAUCACUUUGGCGCUUGUCGUCCAGUGCAGCUUGGCCGAACAAGAACCCCAUACCACGGAAAACGUCGACCAGCUCCGCGUGGUCUACCCGAACCAUCUUCCUACUCAGCCAUGGCCGCAACCUUGGCCACAGCCUUGGCCACAACCAUGGCCACAACCUUGGCCACAACCUUGGCCACUACCUUCGCGACGACCUUGGCCACGACUUGAGCCUCUACCUGAGCCUGGGCCCAGCCCCUUGCCUGAGGAUUCCACGCUGAAAGACUUGCUGGAGGUGGACAUUUCUGCCGAGGAUAAGUCAAAGACAAGGCAGCGCCGAGCUUUCCUUCCCAGGCUUUGGCCCCGCCCCUGGCCCAAGCCCUGGCCAAGGCCUUUCCCCAGACCUUGGGCUUAAUCAACACGAAUCGCCAGCUCUCCCGCAAAGUCAAAUAAAAGCUUAGAGAAGCGUUAAAUGCGCUUCGUCUCCUG